rnacentral:rRNA from 1 species
AUAUUGCGCAAUGGGGGGAACUCUGACGCAGCGACGCCGCGUGAGCGAUGAAGGUCUUCGGAUCGUAAAGCUCUGUCCUUGGGGAAGAAGGUCUUCGGACUUGACGGUACCUAAGGAGGAAUGCCCGGCUAACUACGUGCCAGCAGCCGCGGUAAGACGUAGGGGGAAAGCGUUGUCCGGGAUUUUUGGGCGUAAAGGGUGCGUAGGCGGCCUUUUAAGUCAGAUGUGAAAGACCACGGCUUAACCGUGGGGUUGCAUUUGAAACUGGAGGGCUUGAGUAUCGGAGAGGGUAGUGGAAUUCCCAUUGUAGCGGUGGAAUGCGUAGAUAUUGGGAGGAACACCAGUGGCGAAGGCGACUACCUGGACGAAAACUGACGCUGAGGCACGAAAGCUAGGGGAGCAAAC